AGUGGGGAAUAUUGCACAAUGGGCGAAAGCCUGAUGCAGCGACGCCGCGUGAAUGAAGAAGUCUUUAGGGAUGUAAAGUUCUUUCGCUAGGGAAAAUAAUGAUGGUACCUAGAUAAGAAGGACCGGCUAACUAUGUGCCAGCAGCCGCGGUAAUACAUAGGGUCCAAGCGUUAUCCGGAAUUACUGGGCGUAAAGAGUAUGUAGGCGGCUUAUUAAGUCAGGUGUUAAAUCUAGAAGCUCAACUUCUAAUCGCGCCUGAAACUAAUUGGCUUUGAGUCUUGAAGAGGAAAGUGGAACUCACAGUGUAGCGGUGAAAUGCGUAGAUAUUGUGAGGAACACCAGUGGCGAAGGCGGCUUUCUGGUCAAGUACUGACGCUGAGAUACGAAAGCAUGGGGAGCAAACAGGAUUAGAUACCCUGGUAGUCCAUGCUGUAAACGAUGUUCAUUAGGUGUAGGAGGUAUCGACCCCUUCUGUGCCGUAGCUAACGCGUUAAAUGAACCGCCUGGGGAGUACGAUCGCAAGAUUAAAACUCAAAGAAAUUGACGGGGGCCCGCACAAGCAGUGGAUCAUGUGGUUUAAUUCGACGAUACACGAAAAACCUUACCAGUACUUGACAUCUAGCUGAUUCUUAUGGAAGCAUAGGAUGACCCGCAAGGGAGGCUAAGACAGGUGGUGCAUGGUUGUCGUCAGCUCGUGUUGUGAAAUGUUGGGUUAAGUUCCGCAACGAGCGCAACCCCUAUUCUGUGUUACCAGCACUAACGGUGGGGACUCACGGAAGACUGCCUGUGGAAAACAGGAGGAAGGUGGGGAUGACGUCAAAUCAUCAUGCCCCUUAUGUUCUGGGCUACACACAUGAUACAAUGGUCAGGUCAAAGGGUCGCGAAGCCGCAAGGUGAAGCCAAUCUCACAAACCUGGCCUCAAUUCGGAUUGCAGGCUGCAACUCGCCUGCAUGAAGCUGGAAUUGCUAGUAAACGCAGAUCAGCACGCUGCGUUGAAUACGUUCCCGGGCCUUGUACACACCGCCCGUCACACCAUGAAAGCUGGAAAUACCCGAAGUCCUUGGUUUACUGAGGCCGAAGGUAGAGUCAGUGAUUGGGGUG
rnacentral:rRNA from 1 species